CGUUUGACGCAGGGAGUCCGGUGCGCGGGGUAAGCCUGUGUACCGUGAGGGAGACAACCCAGAGCUGGGUUAAGGUCCCCAAGUGUGGACUAAGUGCGAUCGAAAGUGGUGCCGAGCCCUAGACAGCCGGGAGGUGAGCUUAGAAGCAGCUACCCUCUAAGAAAAGCGUAACAGCUUACCGGCCGAGGUUCGGCGCGCUUAAAAUGAUCGGGGCUCAAGUCCACCACCGAGACCUAGCGGCACCCGUCAAAAGGUGAUUCCGUAGGUUGGCGUUCUGUUCGGGCGGAAGCACGGCCGAGAGGUCGUGUGGACCGUUCAGUAACGAAAAUCCUGGUCAAAGUAGCAGCGUUAGUCGGGUGAGAACCUCGACGGCCGAAUGAGUAAGGGUUCCUCAGCAAUGCUGAUCAGCUGAGGGUUAGCCGGUCCUAAGUCAGCCCGUAAGUCGAAGCUGACAACAGGGAAGUAGGUUAAUAUUCCUACGCCAGUGUGCAUCCAAAGCCGACGCUUUGGGGCCGCCUCUGCUGGGCUUUCGCCCAGUCGAACAGUCGAAAUUCGUGGAAGCCGUAAUGGCACGAAGCGAACGAAUGGCUGGAUAGCGAAAGAGAGGCCAACCUAGAGCCCGUGAAAAGGCGAGCACACAGUCCGUACCGAGAUCCGACACAGGUACUCAUGGCGGCGAAAGCCAAGGUCUGUCGGGAGCAACCGACGUUAGGGAAUUCGGCAAGUUAGUCCCGUACGUUCGCAAUAAGGGAUGCCUGCCUCGCGAAGAGGCAGGUCGCAGUGACUCGGGCGCUCCGACUGUCUAGUAACAACAUAGGUGACCGCAAAUCCGCAAGGACUCGUACGGUCACUGAAUCCUGCCCAGUGCGGGUAUCUGAACACCCCUUACAAGGGGACGAAGGACCCGUUAACGGCGGGGGUAACUAUGACCCUCUUAAGGUAGCGUAGUACCUUGCCGCUUUAGUAGCGGCUUGCAUGAAUGGAUCAACGAGAGCGCCACUGUCCCAACGUUGGGCCCGGUGAACUGUACGUUCCAGUGCGGAGUCUGGAGACCCCCAAGGGGAAGCGAAGACCCUAUAGAGCUUUACUGCAGGCUGUCACUGAGACGUGGUCGCCAUUGUGCAGCAUAGGUAGGAGCCAUUACACAGGUACCCGCGCUAGCGGGCCACCGAGGCAUCAUUGAAAUACUACCCGAUGGUGACUGCGACUCUCACUCCUGGCGGAGGACACUGGUAGCCGGGCAGUUUGACUGGGGCGGUACGCGCUUGAAAAGAUAUCGAGCGCGCCCCAAGAUUUCCUCACUCGGGUCGGAGACCCGAGAAAGAGCGCAAGAGCAUAAGGAAGUCUGACAGUGUCCGGCACAACGACGGACGCUGACGCGAAAGCGUGGUCUAGCGAACCAAUUAGGCUGCUUGAUGCGGCCAAUUGCUGACAGAAAAGCUACCUUAGGGAUAACAGAGUCGUCACCCGCAAGAGCACAUAUCGACCGGGUGGCUUGCUACCUCGAUGUCGGUUCCCUCCAUCCUGCCCGUGCAGAAGCGGGCAAGGGUGAGGUUGUUCGCCUAUUAAAGGAGGUCGUGAGCUGGGUUUAGACCGUCGUGAGACAGGUCGGCUGCUAUCUAUUGGGGGGGUUACGGUAUCUGACGAGAACGUUCGUAUAGUACGAGAGGAACUACGAAUGGGUGCCACUGGUGUACCAGUUGUCUGAGAAGGCACGUGCUGGGCAGCCACGCACCACGGGGUAAGAGCUGAACGCAUCUAAGCUCGAAACCCACUUGAAAAAGAGAUACCACUGAGGCCACUCGUAGAAGACGAGAUCGAUAGACUCGGGGUGUACGCGCCAAGGCAACGAGGCGUUGAGCCCGCGAGCACUAAUCGGCCAAGCCACAUAGUCA
rfam:Natronorubrum tibetense GA33 contig_4, whole genome shotgun sequence.